AUACGUAGGGUGCGAGCGUUGUCCGGAAUUACUGGGCGUAAAGAGCUCGUAGGUGGUUUGUCGCGUCGUCUGUGAAAUUCCGGGGCUUAACUCCGGGCGUGCAGGCGAUACGGGCAUAACUUGAGUACUGUAGGGGAGACUGGAAUUCCUGGUGUAGCGGUGAAAUGCGCAGAUAUCAGGAGGAACACCGGGGGCGAAGGCGGGUCUCUGGGCAGUAACUGACGCUGAGGAGCGAAAGCAUGGGUAGCGAACAGGAUUAGAUACCCUGGUAGUCCAUGCCGUAAACGGUGGGCGCUAGGUGUAGGGGUCUUCCACGACUUCUGUGCCGUAGCUAACGCAUUAAGCGCCCCGCCUGGGGAGUACGGCCGCAAGGCUAAAACUCAAAUGAAUUGACGGGG
rnacentral:rRNA from 1 species